UAAAUAUUGCGAAGUCUUAAUUGAAAAUCCCAGAUUUUCCAAAUGUAGCAGAAAAUUCUGCUUUUAGUAAAUACCUCCCCCCAACUAGCUCAUGAAAAUCUUUACUAUUUGUAUACUAGAAAAAUAUGCAACAAUGUUAAUGACAGUGUGAUCGAAUCCCUUGUGAAUGUAUAUGUCUUAUCUAGUUGCACAUUUCAUAUGCUCAGAAAACUUUAACUUUGUUUUCCUGUUGACGUACAGAUCUCCCAUUUUUGUUGUGCGAUGUAGCAGAUAUAUUAAAGUAGGCCUGUCACAAUGUCACUAUGGAUAUAAGGUGUUAGAGGCUAAAAC